GCCUAGGUGGCUCAGUCGGUUGAGCAUCCGACUUUGGCUCAGGUCACGACCUCACAGUUUGUGGGUUCGAGCCCCGCAUUGGGCU
rfam:Felis catus isolate Cinnamon breed Abyssinian chromosome C2, whole genome shotgun sequence.